rnacentral:rRNA from 1 species
GACGAACGCUGGCGGCGUGCUUAACACAUGCAAGUCGAACGAUGAAGCCUAGCUUGCUGGGUGGAUUAGUGGCGAACGGGUGAGUAACACGUGAGUAACCUGCCCCUUACUCUGGGAUAAGCGCUGGAAACGGCGUCUAAUACUGGAUAUUACCUUUCAUCUCAUGGUGUUUGGUGGAAAGAUUUUUCGGUUUGGGAUGGACUCGCGGCCUAUCAGCUUGAUGGUGAGGUAGUGGCUCACCAUGGCGACGACGGGUAGCCGGCCUGAGAGGGUGACCGGCCACACUGGGACUGAGACACGGCCCAGACUCCUACGGGAGGCAGCAGUGGGGAAUAUUGCACAAUGGGCGCAAGCCUGAUGCAGCAACGCCGCGUGAGGGAUGACGGCCUUCGGGUUGUAAACCUCUUUUAGUAGGGAAGAAGCGUAAGUGACGGUACCUACAGAAAAAGCACCGGCUAACUACGUG